GUGAGGGUACAUAGACAGGUGAGGGGUACCUGGACAGUUGAGGGUACAUAGACAGGUGAGCGGUACCUGGACAGGUGAGGGUACAUAGACAGGUGAGGGUACAUAGACAGGUGAGGGGUACCUGGACAGGUGAG